UCUGAGGGCAGAUUCAGAUUCAGCAAGCAAAAUUACAUAAAAAACAUAUAAUUGGACAAUUUUUGAAAUUCGUUAGGGUGGUCCCAUAAGGUUUUCCCUUGAAAAUUAGCCUUUUUCAAAUGAAGAUAUCUCGAGUUUAAAGAAAAACACCCCUGAGAUUAUUUCAUCGUUAAUAGUGCUGGAUCUCCUCUUUCAAAUGCAACCUAGUGCUUAAAAUUUGGCUUGCGCCUUUUCGAGAUAUUUAAGUUUUAAAUUUGCAUCUUUUUUACCUUAAAAUGGCUGUAACUUUUGAACCUUAAGUCCAAAUUGACAUGUCAAAAAAUGAAAUUGUUUGUUUUUUAGAGUUCUAAGUGCCCCCAACAUCACUUUUCUCUAAAACUUAACCCUGAAUUGUCACAUUCAAAAAACUGAUUUUUGAAGGUUUGCUUAGAUGCUUUCUAUUAAUUUGGUCGUAGAAGGCGUAGAUUACGAGAUAAAAUUUCGGUGUCUUCGACAAAGUUGCUUGGUUUGGCAAGCCCAACAACUUUCUAGAAGACAAAAAAAAUCCCAAAAAUAUUCCUGAAAAGUUAGAUUUUCAAAAUCACCCUAAUAGUGAACCACCCUAAUUUUCAACAAAACCAAAAGUUGCCCCUUUCCAUUUGCAACAACUCUUCUGAAGACACCAAAGCUCCAAAACUUCACCAUUUUUUGGAAAAUCCGUUUUCCACUUAAUUUUACGAUCUGGACCACUGUGCAUUGGCGGCACCGAUGAGUAUGACAAUAUUGGUGUUAAAUUUCGCAAUUUUCAAUGCAAAUUACAUAUGUAAAUUACGAAAAUUUACAUUUUUUUGGACUGGCCACAACUCAAAUUGGUGCAGGUUCCCGCAAUGGCCGCAACCUGCACAAAAUAAAUAAAUAACACAUAUUGAAGUUGAAAAAAAAACAAUCUCAAAAGAUUUUUUCUACAGUCAUCCACAAUCUACAAAUUAAAUUAAUUCAAAAAAUAAAUUCCUUCUAUGUCCCUUCAACGGAACAUCGCCAAAGGGAACCCGGAACCAUCCAGGGUUGUGGCCAGUCCACUAAAAAUUUCCAUUUUCGUAAUUUUCAUAUGUGAUUUUGAAAAUCGCGAAAUUUAACACCAAUAUUGCCCAUACUCAUCGAUGCCGCCAAUGUCCCUUCAACGGAACAUCCCCCGAGGAACCCGGACAAAUUUGGAAUGUGGCCAGUCCGUUUAAAAUGUCAGUUUUCGUAAUUUUCACAUGUGAAUUUGAAAAUUGUGAAGUUUGACACCAAUAUUGCCCAUAUUCAUACGGUGCGGCCAAUGUCCUUCCAACGGAUCAUCCCUCGGGGAUCCCGGAACCAUCCGGGUUGUGGUCAGUUCGUUGAAAAUAUCCAUUUUCGUAAUUUUGAUAUGUAAUUUUGAAAAUCGGGAAAUUGAACACCAAUAUUGCCCAUAUUCAUACGGUGCCGCUAAUGUCCGCUCAACGGAGCAUCCCCAGGGGAACACGGACCAGUACGGGUUGUGGCCAGUCCUAUGAAAAUGUCCAUCGUCUAUGUUCAAUUUCGUGGAACCAUAAAAAGUCCAUUUAGAAAAAAAUCUUGAUUCUCCUUUCACUUCAAGCAGAUGUCAAAUAUUUGUGCGCGCUACUAGCGGGCGACUAAAUUUGGUCACCCGCUGUUCACCGAGGGUCGACCUGCUAUUUUAUGAGCGCGUUUAUGAGCGACCGGUGUGGGGAAGAGUGAUGGUGGAGCGCUUCCAAAUCCUUACUGCGCGCGCCCGGUGGAGAUGGUCUAAGAUGUCAAAAACAAAAACAAUGACUUUUAUAUCCCGCCGUCUGACAUGCAUGAUUUUUAAAACCCGCCAAACAAAUCGCAGCAAACUGGGUUGAACAGAUGAAAUUUUCCUUGUCAAAUAAAAUUAUUUGUUGUGGGCUAGUCACGAAUCUCUGCCGGAUGUUUAAAAUAAUAAAUUCGAUCCGCCUGAGCCUAGAUUUGAGUGAAGGAAGCUUUACUCCGCUAAGAAGUGCCUUUCAACAUGAUUGAUGUUCUGUUCGAAAUUGCACUAGGACCAUAAUCCAUCCGGAAUUUCAAAAAAUAUUCCUGAACUGCCGCUCAAGCUUAGCCAACCGUAGAUGAAACUGACUAUGGCAAGCCAAACGAUUCUCCAUCCAAAAGACUUGUUCGUACGAAUUUUGGUGGUUUAAUAUCAGGACUAAGUCGAUGAGCGCGUCAAAAAACCGUCCUCAGAUAUUUUAAGAAGUGAACAAAAACGAAUAACUCAUAAAUAAAGACAUAGUAAAAAAAAAAGUUUUAUUAUUAAAACACAACUUAUCACGUUUAUCACUAGGUAGAGCACAACAUUACAAAUAAACACCCAAAACAAUUCCUUCAGCAGAAUGGCACACUGGAAACGUAAACUUCUUGACUGCCAUUGUAAAGCCCCACUGGUAAUCCAGAACCAAUAUCUCUCCUAAUUAGCACUCUAGCAGGAGAAACCAAGACUGAUUCAUGUUCGAGUUCGAACUUAACUACUCCAGCCGUGGCACUAGUCCUCGGACGUCGAAAUGAAAUCCAUCACAAUCCGAGCGGCACAAUUCACGUGGAUAUUCCAGGAGAACAAGGAGAACCAAGCGCUCAAGGUCGAGCGAGGUAAGGAGCAUUUUUCAGGGCCGGAAUGGGAUCCGGAAGGCGUUCGCCCCGUGGUCUGGUUGAUUUGUGGCAGUCAUGCUUUUGAACGGGUUCUCCGUUCGUGCAAGUUCACAAAGCAACACGAAAAAAACAGCUCUGAGAACGAACGCUCGUCUCUAAGAAACGUUCGUUCAGUAGGCCUUUUUGAAACGAACCGAGAACCCAGUUCAGAACUUCAACAUUUUCCUUUGAUAAGACUUCAGUAGACUAGCUAAACUUCAUUGACUUUUAAUCAUCCGUUCACAUGUCAGUACUGCUAGCUUAGUGGUAACAAUUAGGUUUAGUAAUCAGAGGUAGUGAGUUCGAAUCUCUUUUUUCCUGAACUUGAAAAGCAUGGAUUUUUUUAAAUCACGGUGGCAAUAAGUUUUCGUCUCCUUUUUAGUUGGGGUGCUUUUUGCUUUUUAACUGUUUCAUUUAGUCUCCCUAGCCUCCCAGCUGGAGUGUCCCUUGAUUUGUAUAACAUGUAAUUUCAGUCGUCGUCAAAAAGUUGGUACCCAACCACACAAAAAAAAUAUUUCAAAUACAUGAGAUUCGAACUCACUUCCUUUGAAUACUGUACUUGCAUGUUACCACCGAGCUAACUAAGCUCUAUAUAAAUCAUUCUACUGAAUGUUUAUUUAAGUUAAACAGUUGCCAUAGAGAGCAUCUGGCUACAGGCGGUUCACAGAACGCGUUCCAAACUUUGAAGAGAACGGCACGAAAAAGUGAAGUUCUGUUUUUGGAACGAAAAGCAAUGGCUCCUGCGCUGUGGGUUCAGUUCAUUUUGAAGAAAGAGAACGAACGCAGAACGGGUUCCGUUCAAAUUGCAUGACUGAUUUGUGCUCGGUGAAGGCAUGAGCUUCCAAUGGUUUGGGGCGAAAUCAUUUUUUAAAGCUGUAUAGAACGUGGUUAAAUUAAUAAAAAAAACUAAAUAAUAUUAAAACAAUAAAAAAUCUAAAAUAUGUACUACUAACCAAUCGUUUCCACGCCCGUCAAAAAUUUUCACCCAAUUAAAAAAUAGGUUGACAACACCCAGUUUGUUCCGAUUUGUUUGGCGGGUUUUAAAAAUCAUGCAUGUCAGACGGCGGAAUAUAAAAUUCAUUGUUUUUGUUUUUGACAUAAGUUUACAUAAAGAAUAUUGCACACAAUAGUUUUCGCACCUCAACUUUGGAAGACAGCAAAUUUUACAACUGUCAAAAGUUGUUGUUGUGAAUGUUAGAGGAAGUUGCUGUGUCGUCGGGUCUGAGAGUUUGGGCCGCUCGGGCAAACAAUAAUCGUGGCAGAUUUCGCGGUCAUCGUCGUGUGCGUGUGUGUUCGUGUGUUUUGGUACUUCUCCUGAUUCAGUUGGAGGAAGUUGCCGAUCGCCGCGCCCUGGAGUUCGGGCUGUCCGGGGCAACCGGUAUAUGUUGCAGAAUUCGGUCCGAUUGGAAGAAGUUUCCAGUCGCCGCAUCCGGAUGCCUGAGCCGCAUUCGUAGCCGAUUCCGUCGCCGUCGUCAUCGUUUGAAGUGUAUGCGUGUGUGCGCGUGUUUGAUGCUUCAUCUGGUCCGGCCGGAGGAAGUUGCCGGUCGUCGCUUCCGGAAGUUAGGCGGCUCGGGCGACCAAUAGUUAUUCGCGGCAGAUUACGUCGUCACCUGAAGUGUGUGUUUGUGUUUUGAUGAUUCUUCCAGACCAGUGAGAGGAAGUUGCCGGUCGUCGCGUCCGGAUGUUUGGGCCGCUCCGGCGUUCAACAUUCGUGGCAGAUUCCUUCGCCGUCGUCUGCGUUAGAAGUGGGUACGUGUGUGUGUGCGUGUUUUGGUGCUUCUUUUGGACCACUUGGAGCAAGUUGCCAGUCGUCGCGUCCGGGAGUUUGGGGGGCUCGGGCGUUCAACAUUCGUGGCAGAUUCCGUCGAUUGGCAUCACAACGGGUGACAACUCGAUGAUCAUUCUGUCCACUAAAAACCGAGGACAACGAGGACUUAGAUAAGUUUUUUUUUUUCUUAUGAGUUAUGAACAUGACACUUUGUUAAAAUUUUUGUAAUUUUUCAGGUGAAUAUAUCAAGUGUGAUGAUAUCUCAUGGAACUUGACUGCUGCUUGCAUAAUUUUGUUUGGGUAAGUAAUUUUCUAUACUUAGUUUUUGUUUUUUUAUUUCUUUUUAGUCACUUAACUGUUAUCUGGGCGAAUCGGGACAACACAAUUCCACCCAAUUUGCAAAUUUUAGCCAAAAUUGUAUGGAGACUUGUAUAGGUGAACCAAUGACACAAAAUAGCUUAUUUGGUCAUAGAGAAGGCCCCCACAAAGUUUGAGCCAAAUCAAAAAACACAAAUAAAAUCCAUUUCCGGUUUUGGUAGAGAAUUGCUCAAUAAGAAACUUUUUUUUAUGUAACAGCAAAAAAUCAAUCUUUACAAAAACAAGAUAUCAUAGCAAACAUUUAUGUGGAAAGAAGGUUGGCACUUCCUCUAACAUCAUUUUCUUACAAUUAAUUCAUUGUUAAACCUUGAAUUAAAAGUCAAAGUAGUUAUGUCACAGACAUAACCGGAAUGCCGUAGGCCUACGCAAAGUUUGAUAUGUGGAUAUAGGGUUUUCCAUAUCUUAAUUUUGAAGAAUUAGCUAGAUACUUUAGAUAGAUUUACGGAAUAAGAUCAUGGAUGGGACAUGUACCCCCCGACACGACAAUACUUACACACCCUUAGGCCAGUAAACUCAAUCAGAAACGGAGUUCAAUUCGAAUCGUUUACGAUUUCCGUUUCAAAUGCCUCCAACCGGUUUCGUGUACGAAACGACGGUCGAGCUUGAACUCUUUGCGAAACAUGUUGGCUGAAUUAUCGGGCGGUCAUUCAAAAAAAAACAGCUAGAAGUCGCAUGACAAAAAACUUUUGCUAAAAAGAGAUAGCUAAUCUGAUGCAAAAUAAAAUCCACAGCUGCAGCUACUUUGAAAAUGUUGGUAAAUUUAUGACUAGAAUGUCAUUUCAAACACCAACACCAAAGAGAGGAAGGAAAGAAAGGAACGAACUACGAUUUUUUUUGCGAACCGAAUGUUUGGUAGUAGAAUAGAGGGGAGGGAGUGGGGUUGGGAUCGCGAGCAGCUUCAGAAAGCUGUGCAGUUCGUCGCCCCCAAAGACCAACAUUUGUUUUUGAAAGGCAUUUCGACGGGUGAAACGAGGGACGGAGAGUGAGGGCAAUUCCGAGGAGUCCUCACCCCCUUCCUAUUUGUUUGAAAAUCACGGCUCUGUCUACGAGCGGCAACUUGUUCGGCGAGAAGGCAGCAGGCGCGCGCUUUUCUGUUGUUGGAGACUCGUCCCGGGUGAGACGGGGGACGGGGAGUGAGGGCAACUCUGAAGAGUUGGGCAGUCCUCAGAAGAUCCAAACGGUUCGGUCAUCGAAAGGCAACUGGCUGACGAGAAGGCGAUUUUUUUUUACUGUGAACAAACACGGACCACUGCGACACUUGCGUAUCUAUUGUAGUAUGAUCUGUUCGCAGGUUUUCUGUUUUGCUGCUGUUUACAGCCUGCCGAACGAUCGUCUUCCGUAGCGCUAUUGUUUGAGCGAGACAGUAUUGACGAAUUAUUCGAGCAGUUGCCCUCUCUCAUUCCUCAGACCAAUCACCCCCAAUGCCAUGCAACACGAGCACGAGAGACCGAUUCGAGGACGUGGAGAUGAGCGAGAUUGAGGGGAAAUCUCGUUUAUUGUUGACCCAUCUAGAGAUCGUUACCGAUCAUAUAGACCAAUCUUCAGCUCGAAUUUUGCCUGAGAGCAUGUGACCGAGUCGAAAGUAGCAUUUGAAGCUCUUCUUUGUGUACUUCUACAGAGUUCUUCAACGCUCAGACUCAGUCGCCAACAGAUCGUCCGAGAGAUUGGAUGGGAUGGGAUGGGAAUCGAGCAUUCGUUGGAGAAGGUUGUCUUAUUCAACAUGACUCGUCGCGUCCCGGCGCAAAACGCUGGCAAUAUCGCCCUACCUGCGGCUCAAGCAGGCAAAAAAGUGAGGAUUUCCAAAAGGAAGGUUGAGGCCUCAACUGAUGGCCAAAAACCCGGGAUUUCCAAAACAAAUGUGCUUUUGGAAGUGCCAUCGAACAGCAAAAAGACGAAAAAGAGCGACGGUACUGUACCGAUGGAUGAGGAGGAGGAAAACUCUUCGUCGCACGAGGAGCAGCUUUUGAAGAACAACAAGUUCGCUGGACUGUCUGACGAGGACCAGGUAGCGGAAGCAAAGGAGAAUGAAGUGAAACAGCGAAAGGAGAAAUUGCCUCCUUUUUAUGUGCGGCAAUCAGCAGGAACGAUCGACUUUCGAGCGGGGCUAGUUGAACUCAUCAAGUCUGGGAAAGUCCAAGGCAACAUUCGCCUGUGCCAGGAUGGAUUUAAGGUGCUGGUGCAAACCAGGCAGCACUAUCACCUGGUCAAGGAUUACUUGACCGAAAACGAGGCGGAGUACUUUACCCAUGAUGUCGUCAUGGAUAAGCCGUACAAAAUCGUCGUCACUUCCUGAGCUGAAGGCAAUCCUGAGCUGAAGGCAAUCCGAGCGGUUUUCAACAUUAUUGUGUCGUGGGAGCGAUACCGACCAGUGCAUCGUGACGUCACACAAUGCUUCAACUGUCUGGGCUUCGGGCACGGAGGUAAGAAAUGCCACCUAAAGCGUCGUUGCGCUAAAUGUGGUACCGAUGCGCACAUCACAUCCCAGUGCAUCCAAGAUUCGCUGGUGAAGUGCCUUAACUGCAACGGUGAACAUUCGUCAACCGAUCGAAAGUGCCCCAAGAGAGCUGAGUUCGUUAAAAUUCGGCAGCAAGCAUCGACGAAGAAUCAGUCUCAACAUCGCAGAAAUUCUCCAGCCCUAGUGGAGCAAAAUUUUCCACCUCUUCAACCGCGACGGCAGGUCCCGAACCUGGCACCGUAUCCGUUGCAUCCAAAGAAGAGAGCAGAGAUAAAUCAUCCGCCGCCGGGCUUCAGCCAGGAACCGAGACCAUAGCCACCGGGCUUCAGCCAGGAGCCAAGACCAACCCAAGAACCAGCAGUUGAGGAAAAUGGUAAUGAUCUUUACACCUCAACUGAACUCCUCAAUAUUUUCAAACAGAUGUCCGCUGCACUGCGUGGAUGCAAAACCAAGACCCAGCAGAUUGAAGUGCUGACCUCGUUCGUCAUUCAGUAUGGAUCGUAAGUCCCUCAAGCUGCUGAAUUGGAACGCUUGCUCCAUUAGGAGGAAGAAUUUAGAGCUGGUGGAUUUUCUUCGCGAGAAGGAGAUGGACGUAGCUGCCAUCACGGAAACUCAUCUGAAG